AUGUAGCCAAGUGGAUCAAG
rnacentral:tRNA from 2 species